UACAGAGGGUGCAAGCGUUAAUCGGAAUUACUGGGCGUAAAGCGUGCGUAGACGGUUACAUAAGUCGGGCGUGAAAGCCCCGGGCUCAACCUGGGAAUUGCGUUCGAUACUGGAUAGCUAGAGUUCGGCAGAGGGAAGCGGAAUUUCGGGUGUAGCGGUGAAAUGCGUAGAUAUCAGGAGGAACACCGGUGGCGAAGGCGGCAUCCUGGACCAUGACUGACGCUGAGGAGCGAAAGCCAGGGGAGCAAACGGG
rnacentral:rRNA from 1 species